UACAGAGGUCCCAAGCGUUGUUCGGAUUCAUUGGGCGUAAAGGGUGCGUAGGCGGUGAUGUAAGUUGGAUGUGAAAUCCCGGGGCUCAACCCCGGAAUUGCCUUUAAGACUGCAUCGCUUGAAUCCGGGAGAGGUGAGUGGAAUUCCGAGUGUAGAGGUGAAAUUCGUAGAUAUUCGGAAGAACACCAGUGGCGAAGGCGGCUCACUGGACCGGUAUUGACGCUGAGGUGCGAAAGCGUGGGGAGCAAACAGG
rnacentral:rRNA from 1 species